AGCGUACUCACGGUGGCUCUGUGCGCAUGCAUAUUGUGCUCCCUCUCUCUUUUAGUUCGUCUGCUUGUCGGCACUAGACCCCCGCAGCAGAUCUCACGUCACCUCCUUUUUCGCAUACCCAUAGAGACACACGCACACAGCGACAGUGACGCUGUAUCGUGUCUUUUUUUUUUUCGUUUUCCUUUCUAAUCUUCCCUGUUGUAGUUGUGGUAUUCGCGGAAGAGGCCGAGUGCGAGAGCGGGAGAGGGGACGACCAUCGCCAAAGCCGAUAAGCAAAUCGCUCACCUGCACACGUGCAGCUCCUGCCUGCCUGCCUGCCCGCUCGCCUCUCGCUGAUACACUCAUUCUUCGGAACUCGCCACAUAGAGGGACACCGAAGCAACGAUACACUUCAGCUUACACGCAAGUGUCCUGCCUCCUCUCUGCUUUUUCUUGUGCACGUGCCCCUCCCUCUCCAGUGUAUGGGCGCGCGCACACAUGCAUACUGCUGCCUCCGUAAUCGCUUCUUGCCUGCUGUCUUAUCGUGUAUCUGUUUCGGCCCCUCUGCUCUCAGUGCACACACACACACACACACACACACACACAUCUGUCUGUGCAGGGUUGUGCGCGUGCAGGGUUGUGCGCGUGCAUGCGUGUGUGCGUGUUUAGUGGGAGUGGUUGUUGCCAGCGUUGCGGCGCUCCGCAUGUUUCGGUUUUCGCCUCAGCGCGUUCUCCGGCCUUCUUUUUGUGAGCCACCAUGCCACGAGAGGUGUACGCGGCCUCGGCUUCCUGGUCCGGCGCCACCACCUUCCCUCGGACGUCCGCGCGGCCGCGGCGGAGUCGGUCCCACAACGAAGUCCUCCUCGCCGAUCAUGAUGGCGCGCCACUCUUUCACCCACACGGGAGCGCCGCUGAGGUCCGUGCAGGCGCCGCAUCGCAGCAGCUGCGCGCUGUGAGCUUCGCCAGUGCCCUUUCCAGCUCUGCGGCGUCGUCGCAAGCUGGUCUGCUCUUAGCGGACGUGAUGCCGACCGGCUCGCACACUGUGCCCCCGCCUCGACAGGUAAAGGAUGUAAACGUGGCCGCUCCCGCGUCAGCAACGCUAUCGGCGAACGCGCUACAAGUGUUGUCCGCCUCGGCUCUCUCGGUGCCUGCCGCCACCCCGAGGGCGACCAGCGCCACAACCCCUACCACCGUGAAGGGGCUCACGAGCGGCAGUUGGCCAUUUUGCAGCGUCGUCGACGGAUGCGGCAUCUCCCCCAAGCUAGCCGAGCUGCUCCGCGCGGCGGCCACGCGGGAAGACGAGGAUGCGCCGUUUCUGAACAUCCCCGCCGAGCUGCUGUGGCUGGGAGGCCGCCGUGAUGCACCCUCGGCACUACUCGGUAGGCGCGGCGAGCCGGGCACUACGACCCCGCUCAAUGGCGUCACGCGGGCCUCGCCGUCGUCCAGGGUGUUUACGUCAGCUGCUGAGGCGCUCAUGGUGGACCCCGACGCACCCCGGCCUGCUCGACGGCGCUUGAGUUACAAAAUCACGCCGGCGCCCCGGGAGUGUAGGAGCGCGGCAUUCGCAUCCGCCGCCCUGGGGCCCCUUACGCCGCUCUCCGGCAGCACCACGCCGUUCAUCUCCCUUUUCACCAAAGACGAUACUGCGACGACGGCCUCGCCCUUGGCAGUGGCGUGCAUGACCGCAGCCCCGCCGUCCCCUGGCGGGGCGAUGCUGUGCUUCUCGACUCCAAAGUCUCCACUCAGUGGCGCAGAGCCCGCAGUCACUGCCGCGCUUCUUCGCGGCAGUAGCCUCGCCGCCCCACGCUGUCUGCGUUCGAGUGAUGCGCCGUCUACCUUGAUGGCGGCGAUCGUCACGGCCUCCUCUCACGCAGGACCAGGCGCGCUCCCGCCUCUGUCGCCCUUCACUCCCACCGACCCCCACGGCGGUGGCAGCCAGCACAUAGAGCUGCCUUUGGGCUUUCAAGGGUUUUCUGCGCACAGCCACCAUGUGCUUGAGCAGCGCAUGCCCGUCAACAGUCGAGGAUGCUCAUCACGGGCUGCGUCGGCCGCGGCAACGACAUCGCUGUUGAAGCUGGCGCGGCAGGCAGCGAGUGUUGCCAGCGCGCAGUCGGUGAGCGACUGCACGGAUGCCCCGUACCACUUCGAGGAUCUCCUCGACGACGCAACGGCGUCCUCUCUCGUCGAGGAUGAUGACGUUUUACGUGACACACCGUGCGGCGGGGACUUCAGCUGUGACGUUUUCGAAGAUGGAAAAGUGUGCGAGGCGGUGGACGACAACGGCUGUGACGAAGACAGCAGCUGCCGUGGUCUCUUACAGAUACGAGGGAGGAGAGUGGUGGCGACGGGAGCUAUGCCGUGUGCAGCGGGGCCGGCGUCGAGGCUGUCGCCGCGUCAGCAGCUCACAUGCCUGCAAGGGCAGUGCGACGUGCGCAGCUGUGCCACCGCAGCCUUGAACGCCAACGGGCCAGCGACGCGCAGCCUUACUGCAGCGCAUGCGCCAUCAUUGGGGACUGCAAGUCGGGUGCACAUGUCGCUCAUGCACACCACUGCCGGGUCCGACUCGGCAUCUAGCUAUGGCAGCGUAGGCGGUGGCUCGACUGGCCUCAGCACCUUCGCCCGAUCCACAAUGACGGCACCGCAGCAGGUGUUGGCGUUGCAAUGGGGGCUGCCACGCCCACUAUCGACACAGACGCGAAGCGGCGCUACUGGCAGUGGCCACCUCCUUGACGGCAGCCGCAGUGCCACCACGGAGAGCUCGAUCAGCGCGCCGGAUCUGCCUGUGUUCGUACCCACGUCCUGCCCGGCCUGCUUGCUGGGGGCAGCCGCCUUCGACAGCGACGCAGGUGGCAGACCUCUCCAUCCGCGACUGGGUAAGCACGCGACGCCCUCGCGCGAAAGGGAACUGGGCACCGCAGCGGACACCAUCGCAAAACCCGCACAGCGGCCCCGCAGCUCCCACCGGCACGCUGGCAGCGACGGCAGAAGCGGUUGCAGCGGUGGCGGUGGCCUUCAUAGACCCUUGAAGCAUUCGCACGGCGCACCUGCCGGAACACAAGAUUGCAUCGAGCAGACCCACAGCAGCUCUGUCGCUGAGGGGCGCACACGGAGCGCCGAGAGCAGCAGUGACGUCAGCGGCUGGGGACGAGUCAGCGAUGUUGGCGAGGACAGCGAUGGGCAGAACGCAACGAGCGGCGGUGGCGAGAAUGGUCGCUGCCGUCCAUGCUCGGCGCCGUGGGUGCGGCGCAUCACCCGUCCUCCUCCGCUGCAUCUGCGUAGCCUAAGCGGCAGACCGUGGAAGCUGGCGAGGUCGCCGCCGGAAGCAGGAGAGGAAGGCCAUGUAGCGGACGCGCACGCCGGCGAUGGUGGUGAGACGGGCUCGCGAGAAAUCGAGACCUUCGCAGCGCUGCUGCCACCUACCCCUCGCCAAACCUCUCCAUCGCUGUCUCUCGCCACUCCCAGCAUGACCGUCGCCGCGGUCGCGGAGGGCCCGCAGAGAGGUUGGCCCCCUGUGCACGCAAGACACGCGACCGCCGUGACCCUAGCAACGUCGCCGAGCAAGGCAACGAAGCACGCGCAGAAGUGGUCGGCCGUGCCACGAGGUGGCGCGCACGGCAGCGCGGUGCCGAGCCCCUCGAGCCGACGCCAUCGCGAGGAAAGGCGAAGCUACCACCACCACCACCACGAGCUGCAGCAGAACUGGCACCUCCGGUUGCUAUGGGUAUGCGCUCCGUAUGGCGUCUUUGUGGUCCUGCUGGCGCUGACCACCUUCGUCGCCACCCACGUCGUCUCGGAGGGUGUUGUGUCGAUCUCCCCCGCAGAGCGCCACACGUACGGUCUCCCUGACCUGCUUGCCUGCACAGAGAAUGUCACCCUGCUGUCGGCCCUGCCGAAUGAAAUCUUCACCUGCUGGCGCAUCGAGGAUCCCGGUCGGCCGCCGUGUGCGGCCGUGAAGUUCGCGGAUCUCGCCGAGUCCCUGGCCGCGCUCUCCUGCGUCUCCCUGAGCGUCUCGGAGUCGUGCGACGAGGCGCGUUGCAUCCCGUUGCGGCGCAGCGACAAGCUCGGCAACCUCAGCACCGUUGCCGCGGCCACGAGGCAUGCGGUGCCCAUCACGGACAAUGGCAGGCGCGACGACCGCGAGGACGGGCACAAGGCGCUCGACUCGAAGCCAGCGCGCAUCAGUGUCGAAAACAGCCGGAUCGUGUCGCGAGCGAACAGAAACACGGCUAAGGCCGCUCGCACUCGGCGCAGCACUACGGGCGCUCGCCUUCCACCUUUCGCUGGCGAGCGCACAUUGCUGCGGCACACGAGACCGUCCGCGACCACCGCGUCGAAGCUCGACGAAUCAGCUCAUGAGUAUCUGCCGCUGCGUCGGGAGGAGAGCGCCGCUGGCGCUGCCAAGACAGGCGCUGCGGCACCGUUCGCGGACUUGAAGGUGCCCUUGGGGUACGCGUUCGGCUGCUUCGGCUACGCAACGGAGUUCUUUGCCGCGGCGUAUCUGGACAGCGAGCACGCCAGCGAGAGGAAGGGACCGAACACGUCUGCGUGCGUGUACGCCAUCGAACCAAACUUGCGCGACCCGCGCAGCCCACCCUUCCCGCCCACCAAAACGCCAUCAGCGAUGAGCGGCGACGGUGCCCCGCAUAUCGCACAUGCGCUGCCUAUCUUUCACAGCUGGAGGAAGGUCAUCACGCGUGCGGACGGGUCCAACUCGCGCGUCUCGCGUUGGCAGAUCUUGUCGGAUCCGUGUGAGCACUCCAGCGGCAUGUGCGUGCACCCUUUCUGUGGGUGCGGUUGCGCAGAGCCGUCCUUUCUCUCAUGUCGCCUAGACGCCGAUCCACUGCUGCUCGGGUACUUAGAGUCGGAUGUCGCGUGCGCGACGCCGCAAGCGCGGUCACACGUGGCGCUGCUGGUUCCGCAUCAUCCCGCGAAAUCGCCGAGGCCCGACGCCGGCACACCCCAGCAGCAACGCGGCGGCGGCGGCGGCGAACAGUGAGACUCGAUGGAGGUCGGCAUCUUCGCUCGGAGCUGGGUGAUCCACCUUCAGCAACCGGAGCGUCGGUAUAGAAGGUUGCGCAAAACACAGCCCACAGACGGGGAUGGGCCGCCCUCGAGCAACACCAGUGGUGCCGCCAGUGUGGAUGAUGCAGUAGGAGGGGAUCAGGGGGCCGUGCCACCGAGUGGCGGGAAGGUGUGCUGGAUGCAGUGGCUCUGCCCCGAUAGCGCAACGUCGGUGCCGACGAUUCUCAACGUCAGCGACGAUGCUGUGCAAGCCACGUUGAGGGCGAUUGACCUGCACCACCGCACGCAGGAGCCGGGUAUCCACAUCAGCAGCCCCGACACCGAUGUGGGUGCCCACGGUAUGGCAGCCUCUUUCUCGUGUGGUUCGCGGGGGUCGCUCAACACAUCGUCGGCAUUGCCGGCUGCCCGGCAGUACAAGCGGCCGCUCGGCAGCGGGCGCUGCACCUUCGCGCCAGCAGUGUUUCGCAAGUUUCUCGCUGAUGGCCAGAGGAUGGCGGUUGAUGUAUCGGCGGUGUGUGCGCACUCCGAUUUCACCGCGAUGGGUCAUCAUCGGAGCGGCACCUCUGCGCCGCGGACACGGUCGGCGUCACAAAGUCGUGAAGCGCUAGGCAGCGGCGUGGACGGCUGCCACCGUCCCUGCUGCCGUGACGUACCUCGUGCUCGCAGGGCUUGCCGGCUACCUGCAUCUUCCUUCCGCGUUUAUUGAGCAUCAGCUAGAGGUCACGGUGGAGCCACAUCAGCACUCGAGGCACCGCAACUCCUCCGUGCUGUCUGGUCGAGACGACGCUGCCGGAUCAGCGGACGAGCGACGACUCCACAUGGGCAGCCUCCUCCUGCGACGAUGCACGCAAGCAACGGGGCGACGCGGAGGAUUUGAUUUGGUGCAUGGGAGGCGGCUGUCUGUAGAGGCUGCAGCCACUGGUGUAGCGGUCACAACGGCAGCAGGAAGAGCUGUAGGCAACGCCGUCCACAGAACUCCGCUCUGCGCUGUAGCCGACCCCCAGCCCCCAACCACCACCACCGCGACUCGCGAAAAUACGAAAGAUUCGCCGUCGCGGCAGGUGCAGUGCCAGCCACUGCCGCAGACAGAGACGCCGACCGCGAAGCAGCCGUGGUUUCUGGACCCGCUCGCCACUCUCUCUCUCUCUCUCUCGAAGAGUCGCGCAUCCGCCCAUGGGAUGCCGCUCUGACGCGACGCCACAACCCCGCGGGGGGACGGCAGAAACGAUCCUCGACAGCGCCCAAUGAGCGAAAAGGCGACUCGCCACCGCGUGGCGACUGCAGCGGCAGCCCCUGCGAGCGUCACCCGCAGCGAGAUGCCCCAUCACACGGCUCCCAUUUUGAUGGCAGAGAUGCUGGUGAAAGAACGUCGCUGCUCUUGAGUCGAUGGGGCGCUAGACGCCUCCCACAGCUCGCAGCUAGUGCUCAGACUGUACGCGUCAGGCGCCUGCAGUCGGUGCUGAGCAUCCGCGUCCAUAUACUGUUCGCGAGUUCACGGUGGUGCGGCACCUCCCAGAGGUUCUAGAAGAUGGGGCUGGGCUCGGGUGCGCACGUACGGCGGGCGCGUUGACGUCUUACUGUCAGCGAUACUGAACGCUGGCUUUGGGUCGCGCACGCGGCUGAAGGACCCCGCUGUGCUCGCCGCACGCUGUGCGGUCGAAACCUUCGACAGCAUGUCCGCGCUGGCGCUGCGUUACUGGCAUCUUCGCCGUUGGGCACUGGCGCCUUGAAGCUGGGCAUCUGCUGUGUGCCGAAGCAUAAUGGUUUUGCGCUGUGGUGAAGUCCAUCGAGGGAGGGAGGGGGCUCCGUUGGGAGCAGCAACGCUUCAGCGGCUUCCGCGUACUCAUGGGCUCUGUCGUCACAAUGGGCAUGGAGCAAGGCAAGCCGAGCGUGGUGCUGUACGCACUGCUGCCAGGGUCGGUGCGGAUACCGUUGUAGAGCACCCCCAGCAGCCUGGCACAGCAGGGUUUCCUGCACCGCGGCCGCGGUCACUACGCGACCGCCGCGACACUGGACGGACCAGCUUGUGGACAUACCACCCGUUACCGUAUUUGUGUGCCACACGUUUCCAUUCGCGCACGAGCGGGUGCUCACGCGCGAGAUACGGAGAACGUGGAAGGGCUCGCGCGAGCUGCACCGCGUCACGUGCGGCAGCGCCGCCUUCCUUGAGACUCUGUGCAUCGGCGUGUUAGAGCUGCGUCGAGUUGGGCGGCACCUCAGCUGGUACAAUCAGUCGCCGUCCUUUCAGCGACGCCAUCCGCGACAGGAGCCACCGCAUUCCGGCGACGGCGGCGUCCUUUGUCGGCUGUGGUCUGCGGAAAAACUGUCUGGCUCACCGUCCUCGUCUCCCUUUCGGGAGGUACCGCCGGUCAUCUCCGCGGCUGAUGGAGUUGAUGAGGGCGUCAGGAUUUUUUGGCGGGUGCCUAAGCGCUGCUAGCCCGCGAAUCCUCAGAGCGGAGAGGUGAAUCGCGGUUGCUCGAAACGCUGACGGAGAUGAAGCUGGUCGCACAUGUCUGCAUGUAUCUGCGUGUGUGUGUGUCUGUGUGUACGUCUCUCUCUCUGACUCGCUCCUCCGUCUGUGCUCAGUGCAUCGCCGAAAGUCAGCGCAGCGUGCGCAUGAGCGGCCGUAGCGAACCGAACAGC
rnacentral:misc_RNA from 1 species